UUGUCGUGGCCAAAGGGAAGGGGAACGCUGUAUAUAAACUCGGCGAACGCGUAUUUUACAUGAAGUCAUCGAGCACUGACUGCACCAAUUAACAUUUGAUCAACUCUCUUAAAAUUUGCGUCAUGGCACCCGGACCUCUCUGCCAGAAGUGUAAAAAGACCUGCAAGGACUGCACCUGCACCGAUGGCUGCCACUGCUGCGAAGAGCCCUGUGGAGACAACUGUGCGUGCCAGCCCUGCAAAUGCCAGCCUGCAAAAUAACACUUUUAACAAUACAUCAUGAGCACUGUAAUGGAAAUGAAAAAUCAGAUUAUGGACUCGGAGCGACUUUGUUUACCUAAGUUGUAGAUGACCUAGUUCUGUAUAUUAAAAAUUCGACUUAUAACAGAAUUAUUAAAUCAGUUGUGAUAUCCUUAAAUGCUUACACUGUACAUGCCUUGCUGAUAUCUUGGAAACUUCAAUAAAUUGUAUAAAUCUUAAA